UGGGUGGGGCGGGUCAGAGCCGCAGAUUGCGUCCUGCACCUAUUGGAUGGCUUAGAGGGAAAGUCGAGGAAGCAGCAGGGAAAUGCCGUUUCAAGUCCUCCGAGUCCCAACCCUGUAAAAAUGUCGCCAUCAAACGGCUUAAAGAAAAUAGUCUCUAAACUCUAAGAGCUGCGGCUGGAGAGAGAGCUCAUCCAGAAUGACCAGACUGUGGGCAGAGAGAACUUGACACUUUCACCCCGAACUCCUGUCCUGCGCAGAAGGGAGAAGGGCUGGAAGCUGAACUGAUUCCUGAUGAAGUCUCUAUGAAAAUCCUCUGAGCUAGAGCUUCAAGCAGCUGGGCUGCAGACCAUCUGAAGGGUCCUGGAGGGUAGUGAACCCAAAGAGGAGCACGGAAGCUCCCUCCGGCUCCCACCUGACCAUACUUUGCCUGUGUACUCUUUCGUAUGUAUCCGUGGUGAUGUCCUUUAUAAUA